GCUGAGCUGUGAUGGCGAGCGAAAUAUAGUAGCGAAGUUCCUGAUUCCACACUGCCAAGAAAAGCCUCUAGCGAGGUGAGAGGUGCCCGUACCGCAAACCGACACAGGUAGGCGAGGAGAGAAUCCUAAGGUGAUCGAGAGAACUCUCGUUAAGGAACUCGGCAAAAUGACCCCGUAACUUCGGGAGAAGGGGUGCUCUGUUAGGGUGCAAGCCCGAGAGAGCCGCAGUGAAUAGGCCCAGGCGACUGUUUAGCAAAAACACAGGUCUCUGCGAAGCCGUAAGGCGAAGUAUAGGGGCUGACGCCUGCCCGGUGCUGGAAGGUUAAGAGGAGCGCUUAGCGUAAGCGAAGGUGCGAAUUGAAGCCCCAGUAAACGGCGGCCGUAACAAUAACGGUCCUAAGGUAGCGAAAUUCCUUGUCGGGUAAGUUCCGACCCGCACGAAAGGCGCAACGAUCUGGGCACUGUCUCAACGAGAGACUCGGUGAAAUUAUAGUACCUGUGAAGAUGCAGGUUACCCGCGACAGGACGGAAAGACCCCGUGGAGCUUUACUGCAGCCUGAUAUUGAAUGUUGGUACAGCUUGUACAGGAUAGGUAGGAGCCUUGGAAACCGGAGCGCCAGCUUCGGUGGAGGCAUCGGUGGGAUACUACCCUGGCUGUAUUGACCUUCUAACCCGCCGCCCUUAUCGGGCGGGGAGACAGUGUCAGGUGGGCAGUUUGACUGGGGCGGUCGCCUCCUAAAAGGUAACGGAGGCGCCCAAAGGUUCCCUCAGAAUGGUUGGAAAUCAUUCGCAGAGUGUAAAGGCACAAGGGAGCUUGACUGCGAGACCUACAAGUCGAGCAGGGACGAAAGUCGGGCUUAGUGAUCCGGUGGUUCCGCAUGGAAGGGCCAUCGCUCAACGGAUAAAAGCUACCCCGGGGAUAACAGGCUUAUCUCCCCCAAGAGUCCACAUCGACGGGGAGGUUUGGCACCUCGAUGUCGGCUCAUCGCAUCCUGGGGCUGUAGUCGGUCCCAAGGGUUGGGCUGUUCGCCCAUUAAAGCGGUACGCGAGCUGGGUUCAGAACGUCGUGAGACAGUUCGGUCCCUAUCCGUCGCGGGCGCAGGAAAUUUGAGAGGAGCUGUCCUUAGUACGAGAGGACCGGGAUGGACGCACCGCUGGUGUACCAGUUGUUCUGCCAAGGGCAUCGCUGGGUAGCUAUGUGCGGACGGGAUAAGUGCUGAAAGCAUCUAAGCAUGAAGCCCCCCUCAAGAUGAGAUUUCCCAUUCCGCAAGGAAGUAAGAUCCCUGAAAGAUGAUCAGGUUGAUAGGUCUGAGGUGGAAGUGUGGCGACACAUGGAGCUGACAGAUACUAAUCGAUCGAGG
rnacentral:rRNA from 1 species